rnacentral:rRNA from 1 species
AUUGAACGCUGGCGGCAGGCCUAACACAUGCAAGUCGAGCGGUAGAGGGGAGCUUGCUUCCCUUGAGAGCGGCGGACGGGUGAGUAAUGCCUAGGAAUCUGCCUGGUAGUGGGGGAUAACGUCCGGAAACGGACGCUAAUACCGCAUACGUCCUACGGGAGAAAGUGGGGGCUCUUCGGACCUCACGCUAUCAGAUGAGCCUAGGUCGGAUUAGCUAGUUGGUGUGGUAAUGGCGCACCAAGGCGACGAUCCGUAACUGGUCUGAGAGGAUGAUCAGUCACACUGGAACUGAGACACGGUCCAGACUCCUACGGGAGGCAGCAGUGGGGAAUAUUGGACAAUGGGCGAAAGCCUGAUCCAGCCAUGCCGCGUGUGUGAAGAAGGUCUUCGGAUUGUAAAGCACUUUAAGUUGGGAGGAAGGGUCGUUACCUAAUACGUGACGAUUUUGACGUUACCGACAGAAUAAGCACCGGCUAACUCUGUGCCAGCAGCCGCCGUAAUAC